AUUACUGUGAAAAUGGAAAUGCUUUUAAGGUUUUGAUUACUACGAAAUAGAGAUGUUUACAGAAGAGUUUGAUCACCCUGUGAAAUUGGGAGGUUGUUGACUUGGAGGUGAAGCGAGAAGACGAGACAAACUUGGGUCACCACACAAGUUAAUGAACUGUAUAUAUUUUAUAUAUUUUGGGGGUUUUAGCGUAAGUCUGUGCGCACUGUGCAGAGAUGUACAGUGUGGUGUCAGUGAUUAUUAGGCGCUGACAUCAGCUGCUCCUGUUCCCUGACCGGAGGCCUGCUCUUAGCUGUGGAUGAAACAAAUACAGUAAUAGAAAGUUGAGACUGGGUGAAAGGGCCAAACAGUCCAAGGUUUUGGUUCCUCCAGAGCACGCAGAGGCCAUGAGGUCGGUGGAUGGGAGCAGUGCACGAGUGAGGAGGGGGAUGAAUGCUGUCAUCACGUAUGUAAAUUAAAAGUGUACUGUCAUCACGUAUGCAAACUGGAUGCUGACAUCGCAUAUGUAAAUUCUGGAGAGAGAAGUUUGCUAUAAAUUGCACUGGAUCGAGACACGGGUUGGGAGAGUUACGAGGUAGUCGCUGGAUGCAAGCCAGGCAGCAAUGUUCUGAGCAUGGGGGAUUUUACCACGUAACUUGGAAGAGAAUUCAACAUGAUCUGUAAAGGAAUAACUUUUCCACGGGAAUUAUGGAUUUAAGGACUGCUCCAUCUGCACUGUUGGAGGAUUACGAAAGACUGUGAUCUAAAAAUAACGCUGACUGAAGGAACAUUACCGAACUCUAUUAUUUCCAAAGGAUUAACACCAGAGUGGAUUAUAACAAAGUUUUUAUUGGGCCAAACAACAUAAAGGAUACAAGCAGAUCUAAAUCGGGACUGAACUCUCUCUCCACCUCCUCCCUGGAGCAGAGCCCCAGCGGGGCGUCGGUCUUCAGGUGGAAGCUGAAUUAGUGAGGAUGACUCCUGCUCCUGUCAUCUCUAAGCUCCUCACACAUCUUUACCUGCACAUGAGGAAAAUCACUCCUGUAGAAUGCAGUGGUUCAUCAGAACCUCUGGGGAUGUCCUGUGGAUUCUGUGGAUCCUGUGGGUUGCAGGGUGGGUCCUACCUAGACCAGGCUGAUCCUGGACCAUCCCACAGAUGCUCCAUCAGAUGUGGAUGUGGGGAGUGUGGAACCCAGGUGAACAGCUUAGCUCUGUCGUGUUCCUCAGACCACUCCUGAGCAGUUUUAGUCUGUCCUGCUGAGGGAGGCAGCUGGCAUCAAGGACUGCUGUUGCCAUGGAGACUAGGGGGUAGGGUUGUCACGAUUUCAAUUUUUUGAGCCACGAUUAUUGUGGAAGGAAAUAUUGCGAUUUUACGAUUAUUCACGAUUAUCGACAUUAUGAAAGAAAAAAACCCAGUGUUUUUAUUUAAAUAAACUCUUUAAUAAUACUUAAACUUUUAAACAUUUACUGUUCUUAUAAAAUAAAAUAAAUUGUUCCAACACGUCUUUGUAGUAAAUAAAAAUGCAAAUUGCAUUACAAAACAGUCAUUAACUUGAGGAACUUAAAGGCUUCUUUAGCUGCCAUCAUUAAAACAAAAGUUAGUGAGUAAAUUCUAGUAAGUUAGUGAAGUGCCUCUUUGAGACUUUUAUGUAUUAUGGAAUGUUGCAAUUUAAUGUAUGGUUGAUAACGUAGUGUUUACUUUGUAAAUCAAACAAAACAAAAAGACAUAAAAAGAAUACAUUUAAAGAUUCUAAAAACACUUAAUUUUAAGCUUUAAAUAUCCUCCACAAUUUUAGACAAUAUAACUACAGAAAAAAGGAUAAAUGGGAGUCUUAUUUAUUUUUACUAAAACGUUUAUAUAAACAAUUCACCACUAAUUUUACAACAAUUAAUCAAAACACCCGGAUCAUUUCCCAGGGAAAACUCUAGAGUCUGACAGGAGGUCCAGGCAGACAGACAGCCUCCCUGUCCUGGAGGUUACUGUCUCCUCCACUACCACUGUCAGCGGGGCUUCCCGGACCACACUCCCUGCUGAGGGGACCGGGCCGACAGCAUCUUCGGAGGAGGG